UGGCACAACCUAGUUGCUUAAUAAAAAAAUAUGCUGGAUAUGUGGUGCCUGGAUGGCUCAGCACCCCAAGCGUCUGACUCUUGAUUUCAGCUCAGGUCAUGAUCUAGCAGUUCAUGAGUUCAAGCCCCGUAUCAGGCGUGCUUGGGAUUCUCUGUCUUCCUCUCUCUCUGCCCCUCCCCUACUUUCUUUCUCUCUCUCUCUCUCUC